rnacentral:lncRNA from 1 species
AUUCAAUCAUCUCGAAUCCAUGCAUGAUUUUCAUGAAAUUUUUUUUCAUUAAUCACACUGCUAUGGCCAUAGAUUUAAGGACUCUACUUCUUAAAUCUCAUAGGACUACUCUCUCUGCUAGGAUCGAUAGAUUCCAUCUAAGUGCACACCCUACUCCUAUUGUGGAUCAACUGUCGUCAAUAUCCACUACAAAGACUCACUGAGUCAAUAUUUAUAUGUAGUCAAACUCCAGCAGCCACACUACGAGCAGCUGUAGCACCG